AGAUGUGAGGGCGAUCUGGCUGUGACAUCUGUCACCCCAUUGAUCGCCAGGGUUGUUCGGCUGAUCUGGCUGGCUAGGUGGGUGUCCCCUUCCUCCCUCACCUCUCCCUUCUGAAGUUGCGUGCUCACUCGGUUGAAGAGGACAGCCUUCUGUGGAGAGUAUAUGAGUAGCUGCGCUCCCCUGCUAGAACCUCCAAACAAGCUCUCAGAUCCCUGGCAACACACGGGAGCAGCAUUGAUAGAUAGCGGAGUGGUGCUUUCUUGUCUUUAUGU
rnacentral:snRNA from 1 species